CGAUUCCUCCUUUGGUGGCUCUGUCUCAGUCCGGCACCAAUCGCGCCAAGCAAAAGGCGGAGAAAUUAAUUGAGCUUCUGCGGCAACCAAGAUCCUGCAACGGCGGUGGUCUUGCGUCAGAAGUGGCGGUGUAAA